rnacentral:lncRNA from 1 species
AGCUUUAAUGAGCAGCAGCAAUCUGUUAUUUUCCUCUUGUUUGCCUUGCAAGUUGCUCUUUUAAUUCACAUGGAAAGAAGGAGAGGGAGAUGAAUAUUAAAAGCUCACAUCAAGGGACCUGGGGAGGCAGAGAGACAGGGACCUUCUCAGUAUGCAGAGAAAGAAGCAGGGCUUUGACAUGAGGCAAGAUCCGGAGACCCAGAGACUGUGCGGAUCUCUGACAAGCCUGACCUUGGGGAAUGUUGCUCACCAGACAGCUUGGCUACUGGGAAGGGCCUGUUUUGGAAUUGUCUGCCUUGUGUCAGCUCACCCUAAAAUGACAACAGAAAGAAAGAAACCGUGUUUGAGACUUUAAGGGAACUGUUUGUUCUGAAGGUGGGAGCAAGUAUGAACAUCCUGCCAGGCAAGUAACGACUGGAGAUCACAGGGUUCAUUGCUAGGUCCACUGAUAGGACAAUUUCUUGAGAUGCUGGGCAGCAGCCACGAGUUGAAGCUCCCUAUCAUUCUCCAUCAUAGGUGAUGGAUGGGUACUCAGCCAUGUACCAUAGUACAUGACACCAGUAUUUUUGAAUAUUUUGACUUCUGUUUUAACAUACCACCAUGUCUAAAAAUUAUUCACCUGUGCAUAUACAUGAGAUAUUCACCACUUUGUUGUGAAAGUGACUGACUCUGUGUUAGAUGAUUUCAUCCAACUACAGGCUAAUUCAGAUAUUCUGAAGUUCAUCUUCCUAAGUGCCUUAAAGGUACUCUGGCUGAAGAUGUUUUCAAGCUUCGAUGGAUUAACUUGGAUUCAACCUUCGGUGACUUCACAGCUUCUGACAUCUAGCAAUUAUUCUUCAAGAUCACAGAUUUUGGCAGCCUAGUGGGAGCCAGGAUGCCACUGCCUCAACAUUGUUGACCCCACCUUAGAAGAUUCAAAGUAUACUGAACUGUGCCUGUCUUAGGCUGUCCUGUCUUCCAGGAUCUUACCCAUCAUUGACUACCAUUCCUCAAAGAGACAUCAUUCCAGAGACAUGUCACUGGAAGGGGUGAUGAGAAACAUCCUACAUGGUGGUUUCAUGGAUCUCUGCUACACAGACUUUGAUCACUUCCUUAAGGGUGCCAUGAUUGGUAUUCUCAAGAGCCAUCAGCACCUGGAGGGUCACCUUAUUUAUGGAGCUCUGCCUGGAAAUAUGCUGGACAAAACACUUAAGCAAAGUAAUUAUUAGUAUAACAGUUCCUCCCAUCAUAGCAUAAGUGGAUAUCCAGGAGGGAUCAAACAGCCUUUUAUUAUUGUCCCAUGCUUUCCCUAAAACCCUGGCAUCCAGGAAUACUCUGGCCACAUUGAGGUUGGCUAUGUUCUCCCUUAGCAGCACAGAAUAGUUAAGGAAAUUGUCUGACCCGGUACCUUCAAGAUAUUGGACCAACUGCUGUCAAGCUUCACUGCUGUUUUGUACCUGAUAAGGGGUUAGGGAGAUUGAGUGAAACUGGGUAUUGCAGACCAAUAGAGAUAUUUCCCUAACAUUGGCCAACUCAUCUGUCAGUAAGUCAAUUUGUUGUUGUAACAUGUAAAUGGCGUAAUAAAGAUAUUGACUUAGUACCUCCUGUACCUGUAGCCCCUAGCCUGACAUAGAAAUUACUGUAUUGACAAUAUCCACCAUCAUGUCUGUCUGGAUUAAAGCAAUGGCAGCUGUUGUUUCCCCCAGAAAUGUCUGCAAUGAUGGCUGCAAUGAUGACAGCCAUAAUACCAUUGAGAAGUUAUUGGAUCCUUCCAUCUGACCAACAAGAGGGGGUGCCCCUCAGCAAAAACACCCAAUGUUUAUAAACAGGGCUCAGCCCUUUCUCAUGGAAGGAGAAAAAAAUUCACAUGAAACAUGACCGCCAGCAAUGCAAGAUUCAGAUCUCUUUUGGAUUUCAAGGAGGUGAAUGAAAGCUUCCUUCAACUUGCUCUGCAUGCAGACAGACUUUGAGCUCAGAGAUCUGCCUGCCUCUGUAAAAACAAUUAGCUUAGUUGGGUGGGAUCCCACCCUGAGAUCACCACUCCCUCACUUCCUAGUGCCACUUUAUUACUUAAACCAUGAGCCUUGUAUUUUUUUUAACUAUUCCUUUUCCUUUACUCACUCAUUAAUACUAUAUUUCAGGUCUGUGAAACCACUCAUAAUUUAUAUUGCAUCCUUAUAUUUUACAUAGUUGAGAAACAUGUUUAUAUUCUUGAAUCUCAUGUUUUCAGAGUUUUUUCACAGCCUUAAAGGCUGUCCUGAAGGUCACAUCAUUACCAUUUUGCUGAGGAAAAUUAGACAUACUCUUGCCUCCCAGAAUUGUGCUGUGUCUGAUUAUUAUGGGGUCAUUAAUCUUUGCAUAGAGAA